AACAGGAUUAGAUACCCUGGUAGUCCACGCCGUAAACGAUGUCGACUAGCCGUUGGGCUCCUUGAGAGCUUUGUGGCGCAGUUAACGCGAUAAGUCGACCGCCUGGGGAGUACGGCCGCAAGGUUAAAACUCAAAUGAAUUGACGGGGGCCCGCACAAGCGGUGGAGCAUGUGGUUUAAUUCGAUGCAACGCGAAGAACCUUACCUACCCUUGACAUCGAGAGAACUUUCCAGAGAUGGAUUGGUGCCUUCGGGAACUCCCAGACAGGUGCUGCAUGGCUGUCGUCAGCUCGUGUUGUGAAAUGUUGGGUUAAGUCCCGUAACGAGCGCAACCCUUGUCCCUAUUUGCCAGCGAUUCGGUCGGGAACUCUAGGGAGACUGCCGGUGACAAACCGGAGGAAGGUGGGGACGACGUCAAGUCAUCAUGGCCCUUACGGGUAGGGCUACACACGUGCUACAAUGGCCGGUACAAAGGGUUGCGAAGCCGCGAGGUGGAGCUAAUCCCGAAAAGCCGGUCUCAGUCCGGAUCGGAGUCUGCAACUCGACUCCGUGAAGUCGGAAUCGCUAGUAAUCGUGAAUCAGAAUGUCACGGUGAAUACGUUCCCGGGCCUUGUACACACCGCCCGUCACACCAUGGGAGUGGACUGCACCAGAAGUGGUUAGCUUAACCUUCGGGGGAGCGAUCACCACGGUGUGGUUCAUGACUGGGGUGAAGUCGUAACAAGGUAACC
rnacentral:rRNA from 1 species